rnacentral:rRNA from 1 species
CGUAAAGAUCUUUUAUGAGGGAAGAAGUUUAUUGACGGUACCUCAUGAAUAAGAGGCUCCUAAUCUCGUGCCAGCAGGAGCGGUAAUACGAGAGCCUCGAGCGUUAUCCGGAAUUAUUGGGCGUAAAGGGUGCGUAGGUUGCUGUGUUAGUCUUUUGUGAAAGACCCGAGCUUAACUUGGGGAGCGCAAAAGAAACGGCACAGCUAGAAAGUGUGAGAGGUGUACAGAACUCAUGGUGUAGGGGUGAAAUCCGUUGAUAUCAUGGGGAAUACCAAAAGCGAAGGCAGUACACUGGCACAUAUUUGACACUGAAGCACGAAAGCGUGGGUAGCGAAUGGGAUUAGAUACCCCAGUAGUCCACGCCCUAAACGAUGAUUUCUCGCUAUUCGGAGUAUCGACCCUCUGAGUGGCUUAGCUAACGCGUUAAGAAAUCCGCCUGGGAAGUACGGCCGCAAGGCUAAAACUCAAAGGAAUAGACGGGGACUUGCACAAGCAGUGGAUUAUGUGGUUUAAUUCGAUGGUAAACGAAGAACCUUACCAGGGCUAGAAAUCAACGUGAAAGCUCUAAGAAACUAGAGCCCUCGCAAGACUAGUUGACAGGUGCUGCAUGGCCGUCGUCAGUUCGUGGUUUGAAUUGUACCCUUAAGUGGGCUAACGAACGCAACCCUCGUUGUGUGUUACAAGUGUCACACGAUACUGCCCCCGCCUUUGUUCCUCUUUGGAGUGAAGUGUGUAUGUUCGCUAAUUAUUAGCGGGCCUGCCCGCCGAAACUCCCGAAGGGUAGUGAAGGCGGGGGAGGAAGGAGAGGAUGACGCCAGGUCAGCAUGGCCCUUGAUGCCCUGGGCUACACACAUAAUACAAUGGCCAUUACAACGCGCAGCGACGAGGCGACUCUGAGCUAAUCGUCAAAAAUGGCCCCAGUUCGGAUUGAAGUCUGCAACUCGACUUCAUGAAGCCGGAAUUGCUAGUAAUCGCGGGUCAGACAUACCGCGGUGAAUACGUUCUCAAGUCUUGUACUCACCGCCCGUCAAUUCAAGGGAGCCGGGAGUACCCGAAGUCUCUUCAUAAGGAGGGCCUACGGUAAGCUCGGUGACAGGGAAUAAGUCGUAACAAGGCACGGGUAGCGGAAGCUGCUCGUGGAAUAAUUCAAUU